rnacentral:rRNA from 1 species
CACACUAUCAUUACGUGAAUACAUAGCGUAAUGAAGCGAACCGGGGGAACUGAAACAUCUAAGUACCCCGAGGAAAAGAAAUCAACCGAGAUUCCCCCAGUAGCGGCGAGCGAACGGGGAGCAGCCCAGAGUCUGAAUCAGCUUGUGUGUUAGUGGAACGGUCUGGAAAGUCCGACGGUACAGGGUGAUAGUCCCGUACACCAAAAUGCACAGGUUGUGAACUCGAAGAGUAGGGCGGGACACGUGGUAUCCUGUCUGAAUAUGGGGGGACCAUCCUCCAAGGCUAAAUACUCCUGACUGACCGAUAGUGAACCAGUACCGUGAGGGAAAGGCGAAAAGAACCCCGGCGAGGGGAGUGAAAAAGAACCUGAAACCGUGUACGUACAAGCAGUGGGAGCCUCUUUAUGGGGUGACUGCGUACCUUUUGUAUAAUGGGUCAGCGACUUAUAUUCUGUAGCAAGGUUAACCGUAUAGGGGAGCCGAAGGGAAACCGAGUCUUAACUGGGCGUUAAGUUGCAGGGUAUAGACCCGAAACCCGGUGAUCUAGCCAUGGGCAGGUUGAAGGUUGGGUAACACUAACUGGAGGACCGAACCGACUAAUGUUGAAAAAUUAGCGGAUGACUUGUGGCUGGGGGUGAAAGGCCAAUCAAACCGGGAGAUAGCUGGUUCUCCCCGAAAGCUAUUUAGGUAGCGCCUCGUGAAUUCAUCUUCGGGGGUAGAGCACUGUUUCGGCUAGGGGGUCAUCCCGACUUACCAACCCGAUGCAAACUGCGAAUACCGAAGAAUGUUAUCACGGGAGACACACGGCGGGUGCUAACGUCCGUCGUGAAGAGGGAAACAACCCAGACCGCCAGCUAAGGUCCCAAAGUCAUGGUUAAGUGGGAAACGAUGUGGGAAGGCACAGACAGCCAGGAUGUUGGCUUAGAAGCAGCCAUCAUUUAAAGAAAGCGUAAUAGCUCACUGGUCGAGUCGGCCUGCGCGGAAGAUGUAACGGGGCUAAACCAUGCACCGAAGCUGCGGCAGCGACACUAUGUGUUGUUGGGUAGGGGAGCGUUCUGUAAGCCGUUGAAGGUGUANNNNNNNNNNNNNNNNNNNNNNNNNNNNNNNNNNNNNNNNNNNNNNNNNNNNNNNNNNNNNNNNNNNNNNNNNNNNNNNNNNNNNNNNNNNNNNNNNNNNGUGAGGUAUGCUGGAGGUAUCAGAAGUGCGAAUGCUGACAUAAGUAACGAUAAUGCGGGUGAAAAACCCGCACGCCGGAAGACCAAGGGUUCCUGUCCAACGUUAAUCGGGGCAGGGUGAGUCGACCCCUAAGGCGAGGCCGAAAGGCGUAGUCGAUGGGAAACAGGUUAAUAUUCCUGUACUUGGUGUUACUGCGAAGGGGGGACGGAGAAGGCUAUGUUAGCCGGGCGACGGUUGUCCCGGUUUAAGCAUGUAGGCGGAGGUUCCAGGUAAAUCCGGUACCUUUUAACGCUGAGGUGUGAUGACGAGGCACUACGGUGCUGAAGUAACAAAUGCCCUGCUUCCAGGAAAAGCCUCUAAGCAUCAGGUAACACGAAAUCGUACCCCAAACCGACACAGGUGGUCAGGUAGAGAAUACCAAGGCGCUUGAGAGAACUCGGGUGAAGGAACUAGGCAAAAUGGUGCCGUAACUUCGGGAGAAGGCACGCUGAUAUGUAGGUGAAGUGAUUUACUCAUGGAGCUGAAAUCAGUCGAAGAUACCAGCUGGCUGCAACUGUUUAUUAAAAACACAGCACUGUGCAAACACGAAAGUGGACGUAUACGGUGUGACGCCUGCCCGGUGCCGGAAGGUUAAUUGAUGGGGUUAUCCGUAAGGAGAAGCUCUUGAUCGAAGCCCCGGUAAACGGCGGCCGUAACUAUAACGGUCCUAAGGUAGCGAAAUUCCUUGUCGGGUAAGUUCCGACCUGCACGAAUGGCGUAAUGAUGGCCAGGCUGUCUCCACCCGAGACUCAGUGAAAUUGAACUCGCUGUGAAGAUGCAGUGUACCCGCGGCAAGACGGAAAGACCCCGUGAACCUUUACUAUAGCUUGACACUGAACACUGGUCCUUGAUGUGUAGGAUAGGUGGGAGGCUUUGAAGUGUGGACGCCAGUCUGCAUGGAGCCAUCCUUGAAAUACCACCCUUUAAUGGCUGGUGUUCUAACGUGGACCCGUAAUCCGGGUUGCGGACAGUGUCUGGUGGGUAGUUUGACUGGGGCGGUCUCCUCCUAAAGAGUAACGGAGGAGCACGAAGGUUAGCUAAUCCUGGUCGGACAUCAGGAGGUUAGUGCAAAGGCAUAAGCUAGCUUGACUGCGAGAGUGACGGCUCGAGCAGGUGCGAAAGCAGGUCUUAGUGAUCCGGUGGUUCUGAAUGGAAGGGCCAUCGCUCAACGGAUAAAAGGUACUCCGGGGAUAACAGGCUGAUACCGCCCAAGAGUUCAUAUCGACGGCGGUGUUUGGCACCUCGAUGUCGGCUCAUCACAUCCUGGGGCUGAAGUAGGUCCCAAGGGUAUGGCUGUUCGCCAUUUAAAGUGGUACGCGAGCUGGGUUUAGAACGUCGUGAGACAGUUCGGUCCCUAUCUGCCGUGGGCGCUGGAGAAUUGAGGGGGGCUGCUCCUAGUACGAGAGGACCGGAGUGGACGCAUCACUGGUGUUCGGGUUGUCAUGCCAAUGGCAUUGCCCGGUAGCUAAAUGCGGAAGAGAUAAGUGCUGAAAGCAUCUAAGCACGAAACUUGCCCCGAGAUGAGUUCUCCCUGAGACU